CACCCAUCCGCCCCGCCUCCAACUCGUUCGACCAGGGUUGGGCUAUACGGGCGCGCUCUCGGGGACAGGGGGGGCAGUCCCGGUCCCGGCCCUCCGCGCGGGUGGGCUUGGAGCAGGCCGCACCGGGCGGGAACCCCACUCCCACCCCGGAGGCCCCCUGCCCUUUCUCCCCCUUUCCCCCCGGCCCAUGGUGCGAGGCUGGGAGCCGCCGCCCGGGCCGGACCGUGCUAUCUCUGAAGGGCACAAAUCAGAAAGCACCAUGCCUCCUAAUAAAGAGGCCAGCAGUCUUAAUAGCUCCCCAGCGGGGCUCAUCUGCCUGCCUCCAAUCUCCGAGGAGCUACAACUUGUGUGGACCCAAGCAGCCCAGACCAGUGAGCUGGAUGGCAAUGAACACUUGCUACAAACCUUCAGCUACUUUCCCUAUCCCAGUCUAGCAGACAUUGCCCUUCUCUGCUUACGCUAUGGGCUGCAGAUGGAGAAAGUCAAGACUUGGUUCAUGGCCCAGCGCCUCCGCUGUGGCAUUAGCUGGUCAUCUGAAGAAAUAGAAGAGACUCGAGCCCGAGUGGUCUACCAUCGGGACCAGCUCCAUUUCAAAUCCCUUCUCUCUUUUACUCAUCAUGCAGGGCGGCCCCCAGAGGAGGUGCCUCCUCCAUUGCCACCUCCAGAACAAAUGGGUCUUGGAAUAGUACCCCUGACUCUUAGUGAGCCCACCCAAAUGAAAGGCUUGAAGGUAGAACCUGAGGAGUCCUCAGAGCUGCUGAGUCACCAGAAAGCAAAGGAACCCCUGAUGGCACCUGGCAGUGGGGCAUUCCCCCACCAAUCAGAUUUUUGGCAGGAUCUUCAAAGUGGUGGCUUCUCUAAGGAGCAGGCAGGCAGGGGUCCCCACCAGUCACAUGGCCUAGGUUCUGCUUCCUGGAACCACUCCACAGCUGUCCAUCCGCCACAUGCUCGGGAUAAGCCCCCACCAAUCUCACUACUUGCUAGUAGUUGUAAGCAGGAGUCAACAUCUAAUAUGACUCCUUCUUCUCCCUCUACCUCCUCUUCCACUUUCCCAGUACUGGCUAAUGGAGCUACUGCCACCUCUAAACCCCUCCAGUCACUAGGCUGUAUCUCACAGCCACUGUCACCCAGUGAACAGGCACUGCCCCCACAUCUGGAGCCAGCUUGGCCCCAGGGGCUAAGACAUAAUUCAGUACCAGGUAGGGUUGGCCCUGCAGAGUACCUUUCUCCAGAUAUGCAACGCCAGCGAAAGACCAAGCGCAAAACCAAAGAGCAGCUGGCUAUCCUCAAAUCUUUUUUUUUACAGUGCCAAUGGGCACGGCGUGAGGAUUACCAUAAAUUAGAACAGAUCACUGGUUUACCUCGACCUGAGAUCAUUCAGUGGUUUGGUGACACACGCUAUGCCUUGAAGCAUGGGCAACUAAAAUGGUUUCGGGACAAUGCAGUACCUGGUGCCUCUAGUUUCCAGGACCCAGCAAUUCCCACACCCCCACCUUCAACCCGCUCCUUGAAUGAAUGGGCUGAGACACCACCUCUGCCAAACCCCCCACCCCCACCGGAUAUACGACCUUUGGAGAGGUACUGGGCAGCCCAUCAACAGCUACGGGAAAGUGAUAUCCCUCAACUGAGUCAGGCAUCAAGGCUUAGCACCCAGCAGGUACUGGAUUGGUUUGACUCUCGAUUACCUGAGCCAGCUGAGGUGGUGGUUUGUCUAGAUGAAGAGGAAGAAGAGGAGGAGGAAGAACUGCCAGAAGAUGACGAGGAUGAAGAGGAGGAGGAGGAGGAAGAAGAGGAUGAUGAUGAUGACGAUGUGAUCAUACAGGACUGAGUCGGGGGGACUAGGGGAGGGAAGGUCUGUUACUAAAAGAUGAACCAACUUAGUAACUGUUUAAACAAAGAAACCACAUUUUUUUAAAUUACUUUGUGGCAAAGAACUGAAAAGCUUUGUGUUCUUGAGGUUGGGGGAUUGGGGAUGUAGUGAGGGUGGACCAGAGAGGAUGACCAUAGGAUCUAAAGAGAGGUGGGAAUUGGAUGAACAGAAAUCAGUCCUCUCGUCUCAGUGAAGAGUGCACUAAGGAUGUGGUCCAAACCAUGGGCUGGGAGAAGGCUUUUUUGCUCUCUUCAUGUCUGCUGUUCUUUUCCCUUAGUGUGCAAUGGAAAGCCCAGACCUUGGCCAUACAUCUAUAGGAGGACUGGAAAAGAAGAGUAAAGAAUUUUGAUUCAAUUGAUGAUUCCAGUGCAGACCCCAGUCCCACCAUUUUCCCUGGAAUCUCCGUGGUAGCCUUGAAAACCAACAUUCUGGCAUCAUCGUGGGGAUGGAAUGGGUUUGGAACUCUUUCAAAGCCUCAUUCCCAGAAAAUAAUCAUUUGACCUGUCCAGUGGCAACUGGAAGACUCCACUUGCAAGGCUGACUUUAUUUGAUCCGACCUGGAGCGCAAAUUCAUCGGGACUUGGAGCUUAGAGUUCAUCACCUGUGAAAAGCCUUUUCCCCAGGAGUGUGUGUUGUAAACAAUUAGAAGCACUUGUUUGGGCUGCUUGAGAAUGUGAAUAUCAAUUGGGGCAAAUAAUAGGCUAACCUGAAAGCAUAGCUGGAAGAGAUGGGGAAUGAAUUGUUGGUGGGGACUCUGAAAACAAUACAUUCUUGGAGUCUAGAACAUAUGCAUAUGCAGGACUAUAUGCAUGCUCAGAAAAUACCUGAAAAAGCCCCAAUCUCUUACCUUGAGGUCAUACAAGCAGGUUGAAGGCUAAGGUCAGUUGCCUGGCUAAGUGCUGAAAGAGAACCCCAACACAUAUACAGAAACCCUCAGCAAAGACUGAGAGACUUACUGGUUCCAAGCGUUUAAGGGAAUCUCUGUCCAGUCCUUAGCUGACCACUAAACUAACUGAAUAGAGACUUUGGUGGCUCCACAUGACAAUACAGAUUUUAUAGAAUUUUUAAAAAGUCACUAAACAAUAAACAGCAAGAACAAUAACAAAAAAAAAAAACCCAUGGGGAGGGGGAAGAAUCUGAUUCCAAGAACUGCCAUGUUAUACUAUUUUAAUGUCCAAUUUCCAACAAAAAAUGAGGUAUAUAAAGAAGUAUGACCCAUAUAAAGAAAUAAAGCAAUCGAUGGAAACUGUCCUUGAGGAAGCCCAGACAUUGUACUAAGCCCAGCCUAGACUUUGUCUAGACAAAGACUUUAAGUCAGGUAUUUUAUUUUAAAGAUUUUAUUUAUUUAUUAGAGAGAGAGAGAGCAAGAGAGGACAUGAGCAGGGAAGAGAGGGAGAAGCAGGCUCCUUCAUAGGGAGUCCCACAUGAUAUGCUCAAUCCCAGGACUCUGAGAUCAUGACCUGAGCUCAAGGACGACACUUAACCAGCUGAGCCCUAAAUUAGAUAUUUUUUUUUAAAGGAUUUUAUUUGACAGAGAUUACAAGUAGACAGAGAUGCAGGCAGAGAGGAAGGGAAGCAGGCUCCCUGCUGAGCAGAGAGCCCGAUGUGGGGCUCCAUCCCAGGAUCCUGGGAUCAUGACCUGAGCUGAAGGCAGAGGCUUUAACCCAGUGAGCCACCCAGGUGCCCCUCUUUUCUUUAAAGAUUUUUUAUUUUCAAGUAAUCUUAUACCCAAGGUAGGGCUUGAACUCACAACCCCAAGAUUAAGAGUUGCAUACUUUUCCAACUGAGCCAGCCAGGUACCCUUAAAUCAGGUAUUUUAAAUAUGCUCAAAUAUCUUUGGAAACCAUGUCUAAAGCACUUAAGUAUGAGUGUGGUAUCUCAGCAAAUAGAGAAUAUUAAUGAAGAAAAAAUAUAUUUAAAAGAACCAAAUAUAAAUUUUGGGAUUGAAAAUAAUAAAAAUGAGAACUUCACUAGAGCAACUCAUCAGCACAAACAGAAGAAAAAAAAAUGAGCAUUUUGAAGUCCACCGAGACUAUCCAAUGUGAGGAAGAGAAAGAAAAAAUAAUGAAGGAAAAUGAAGAGAGUUUCAGAGACCUUGGUGGAACACCAUCAAGUUUAUCAACACAUGCAUUAUGGGAUUUCUAGAAAAAAAAAAAAAAGGAACAAGAGCAGAAAGAAUAUUUCAAGAAAUAAUGGCUGACAACUUCCCAAAUUAGAUGAAAAAAAAAAAAAAAAAAACUACACUUCUACACUUCCAAGAAGCUCAACUGCUAAAGAAGUCUGUUAGAUUUAGUUGGUAUAUAAUGUUCAAAUCUUUUAUUCCAUUGCUUAUCUUCUGUCUAGUUGCUCUAUUUGUUACUGAAAGUGGGGUACUAAAGUCUAGUAGUUUUCCUCUAGUUCUCUUUGAUUCUGUUAGUCUUGCACCUUUGCUACCUAAGACUUUGUUGUUUUAUAGAUACACACACAUAUACUUUAUUAUUAUUUUUUUUAUUUUUUAAAGAUUUUAUUUAUUUGACAGGCAGAGAUUACAAGUAGGCAGAGAGGCAGGCAGAGAGAGGAGGGGGAAGCAGGCUCCACACUGAGGAGAGAGCCCGAUGUGGGGCUCGAUCCCAGGACCAUGACCUGAGCCGAAGGCAGAGGCUUUAACCCAUUGAGCCACCCAGGCACUCCCCCCCCACACACAUUUUAAAGGAUUUUAUUUAUUUUAGAGAGAGAGAGGGAAUGAGAACAAAUUAGGGAAGGGGCAGAGGGAGAAGCAGACUCCCUGUUGAGCAGGGAGCCCAACAAAGGACUCCAUCUCAGGAUCCCGGGAUCUUGACCUGAGCCAAGGGCAGAUGCUUAACUGACUGAGCCAUCCAGGAGCCCAAGGCCAUACAUUUUAAAGUAUCUAAAUUAUAAAAAGUAUUUUGUCCUACCACAAUGGAAUGAAAUUAAAAAUCAGUACCAGGAGGAAAUCUGUGAAAAUUAAAAAUAUGUUGAUAUUAAACAAAUAACCAAUGGUCCAAAGGAGGGGAAAAAAAGAAAUUAGAAAAGAUUUUGAGAUGAAUGAAAACAAAGCCAGAAAAUACUAAACCUUAUAGGGCACAAUGAAAGCAGUGCUUAGAGUGAAAUUUAUAACUGAAAAUGUCUUCAUUAAAAAUGACCUCCAAUCAAUAACCCAACCUUUUGUCUUAAGAAACUAAAAGAGGGGGGCACCUGGGUGGCUCAGUGGUUUAAGCCUCUGCCUUUGGCUCAGGUCAUGAUCUCAGGGUCCUGGGAUUGAGCCCCACAUCUCUCUGCUUGCUGCUCUGCCUACUUCUGAUUUCUUGCUCUGUCAAAUAAAUAAAUAAAAUCUUAAAAAAAAAAAAAACAAAAAACUAAAAGAGAACUAAACCCAAAACAAGCAGAAGGAAAGAAAUAAAACUUAGAGCAGAAACAAAUGGAACAGAGAACAGAAAAACAGAAAAUCAACAAAACCAAAAGUGAUUUCUUUGAAAUGUUCAACUAGAUUGGCUAGCUAGGCUCUCCAAAUAAAAGUAAAAAAGUAGUAGAAAGCUUCAAAUAACUAAAAUCAGGAACAAAAGAGAGACUAUUACUACUAACCUGAAAAAUUCUCUAGAACUUCUACAUUUUUCAAAGCGUGAAUAUGAAAGAAUUGGAGGGAAACUAUUUGGUGUUUUUGGUUAUCCAGAAAGAAAUAAACAAAUUUCACAAUUGUCUCUUGUGAAAGAAAGGGAAAUCCUCUCUCAUUAAAUAUUCUCUAUGGACUGGCUAAUACCCUUGAAAGUAGUAAUAAUAAAAGUAGUUCUAAGAGGAAAGAGACAAGAAAUUAAGUGGGUAUUCUUCACUGGAAUAUUUUUAAGUUUAAUACACAGUAAAGAAGCCUGAUACCCUUCAGGUUAACAUAAUCCAUGGCUAGUUAGCCUUCCUUUUAGACCUAAAUUCUACUGCCAUCUUGUGGCAAUUAAAAAAAAUCCAAAUCUAUUUACUCAAGUUAACCCUCCGUCUUUGACCAGAGGUUUUCUUUUCUUUUCUUUCUUUCUUUCUUUUUUUUUUUUUUUUUUUAAAGAUUUUAUUUAUUUGACAGAGAGGGAAAGAGAGAUCACAAGUAGGCAGAGAACCGGGCAGAGGGGAGGGGGGGGGAGCAGGCUCCCUGCCGAGCAGAGAGCCCAAUGCAGGGCUCGAUCCCAGGACCCUGAGAUCACAACCUGAGCUGAAGGCAGAGGCUUAACCCACUGAGCCACCCAGGUGCCCCAACCAGAGGUUUUCAAUGACUUUCUAUUGCUCAAAAAAGUUUCUCCUUAUUAGUUUGAGAACAGGAAUAUAAUUAUUUGAAAAGUAAUAAUAUAUCUCUAGAUACCUUGAAUCAGUGUUUGGAAAAAAACAAAUGGCAUUACCUUAUGCACAGAAAAUACAUAAUGGCAUAAUUAUAUAGAAAACCAGAAAUCUGCUGGUAUCUGCACAAAAUAUGUUGGUUUCUGAACCUUUUUUCCCCUUCUCACCGGUAUGAGAGUCCCUGGGAGUGCUUCUUCCCUGCAGGCCUCUGGCUCCCUGAUGGACAAAAAAUAAACAAUUAAUAAAUAUAUCCUAAUUCUC